CCUACGGGAGGCAGCAGUGAGGAAUAUUGGUCAAUGGACGAGAGUCUGAACCAGCCACGUAGCGUGAAGGAUGACUGCCCUAUGGGUUGUAAACUUCUUUUAUAUGGGAAUAAAAUGUUCCACGUGUGGGAUUUUGUAUGUACCAUAUGAAUAAGGAUCGGCUAACUCCGUGCCAGCAGCCGCGGUAAUACGGAGGAUCCGAGCGUUAUCCGGAUUUAUUGGGGUUAAAGGGCGCGUAGGUGGAUUGUUAAGUCAGUUGUGAAAGUUUGCGGCUCAACCGUAAAAUUCAGUUGAAACUGGCAGUCUUGAGUACAGUAGAGGUGGGCGGAAUUCGUGGUGUAGCGGUGAAAUGCUUAGAUAUCACGAAGAACUCCGAGGGCGAAGGCAGUUCACUGGACUGCAACUGACACUGAGGCUCGAAAGUGUGGGUAUCAAACAGGAUUAGAUACCCCAGUAGUC
rnacentral:rRNA from 1 species